GACGAACGCUGGCGGCGUGCUUAACACAUGCAAGUCGAACGAUGAAGCCCAGCUUGCUGGGUGGAAGAGUGGCGAACGGGUGAGUAACACGUGAGUAACCUGCCCUGAACUCUGGGAUAAGCACUGGAAACGGUGUCUAAUACUGGAUACGACCUAUCACCGCAUGGUGUGUGGGUGGAAAGAUUUAUCGGUUUUGGAUGGACUCGCGGCCUAUCAGCUAGAUGGUGAGGUAAUGGCUCACCAUGGCGACGACGGGUAGCCGGCCUGAGAGGGUGACCGGCCACACUGGGACUGAGACACGGCCCAGACUCCUACGGGAGGCAGCAGUGGGGAAUAUUGCACAAUGGGCGCAAGCCUGAUACAGCAACGCCGCGUGAGGGAUGACGGCCUUCGGGUUGUAAACCUCUUUUAGUAGGGAAGAAGCGAAAGUGACGGUGCCUGCAGAAAAAGCACCGGCUAACUACGUGCCAGCAGCCGCGGUAAUACGUAGGGUGCAAGCGUUGUCCGGAAUUAUUGGGCGUAAGAGCUCGUAAGCGGCUUGUCGCGUCUGCUGUGAAAUCCCGGGGCUCACCCC
rnacentral:rRNA from 1 species